ACAUGCGUAAUCUGUCUCUAACAACCCCACACCGACAUAUCAGAAGAUUGAAGUCUCAAAGCCGAGAAAAUUCAAUAAGUAAUUCACAUCUUUCGAUUAGCGCACUGUUUUUACAAGACGUUCAGACGCUGGUGGAUUUACUCAGUGAAGAGAGCACAUGAUGACGUCGUUUGUUCGAAUCUCGAAUCUGUGUCUGUUGCUCGCAGUGCUGGUCGCCUACAGUCUGAUUUCUGUACAGACAGCACGAGCCAAGAAAGAGAGCAGACAUUUGCCGACAAAAAAGCCAUCACCAACGCACAAAGCACAUAGAACGAAAACAGCGGAGCAACCUGAUUGCGAUGACGUCGACUGUCCUGAUGUCACCUGCGACAACCCAACCAAAAAGCCAGGUGAUUGCUGUCAGAAAUGCUCAGGCUGUGACGUACACGGGGUAAACAUCCCCGUGGGUAAGACCCACACCUUCCCCGAGGGGUACUACUGUGGGUGUAAGGCAAGUGGUGAAGUAUGGUGUGUCGCCUAAGAAAACAACACGGACCUAAAUUUACUACACAUAAUGCCAGAAUAAACAAAGUUGAAAUCUUGGCAACACAAACUUACCUCACAAUAUACCGAAAUACAAAAACUUGAAAUCUUGACAACACGGACCUAAAUUUACCACACACUAUAACAAAAAAAGACAUUUAAUAUACAUUAUACCUGAAUAAACAAACUUGAAAUCUU